rnacentral:rRNA from 1 species
AUUGAACGCUGGCGGCAGGCCUAACACAUGCAAGUCGAGCGGAUGAAGGGAGCUGGCUCCUGGAUUCAGCGGCGGACGGGUAAGUAAUGCCUAGGAAUCUGCCUGGUAGGGGGGGAUAACGUCCGGAAACGGUCGCUAAUACCGCAUACGUCCUGAGGGAGAAAGUGGGGGAUCUUCGGACCUCACGCUAUCAGAUGAGCCUAGGGCGGAUUAGCUAGUUGGUGGGGGAAAGGCCUACCAAGGCGACGAUCGGUAACUGGUCUGAGAGGAUGAUCAGUCACCCUGGAACUGAGAAACGGUCCAGACUCCUACGGGAGGCAGCAGUGGGGAAUAUUGGACGAUGGGCGAAAGACUGAUACAGCAAUGCGGCGUGUGGGAAGAAGGUCUUAGGAUUGUAACGCACUUUAAGUUGGGAGGAAGGGAAGUAAGUUAAUAACUUGCUGUUUUGACGUUACCAACAGAAUAAGCACCGGCUAACUUCGUG